UGGGGGAGCAAACAGGAUUAGAUACCUGGUAGUCGCUGUAAACGAUGUCGAUUUGGAGGUUGUUCCCUUGAGGAGUGGCUUCCGGAGCUAACGCGUUAAAUCGACCGCUGGGGAGUACGGCCGCAAGGUUAAAACUCAAAUGAAUUGACGGGGGCCCGCACAAGCGGUGGAGCAUGUGGUUUAAUUCGAUGCAACGCGAAGAACCUUACCUACUCUUGACAUCCAGAGAAUUUAGCAGAGAUGCUUUAGUGCCUUCGGGAACUCUGAGACAGGUGCUGCAUGGCUGUCGUCAGCUCGUGUUGUGAAAUGUUGGGUUAAGUCCCGCAACGAGCGCAACCCUUAUCCUUUGUUGCCAGCACAUUAUGGUGGGAACUCAAAGGAGACUGCCGGUGAUAAACCGGAGGAAGGUGGGGAUGACGUCAAGUCAUCAUGGCCCUUACGAGUAGGGCUACACACGUGCUACAAUGGCGUAUACAAAGAGAAGCGACCUCGCGAGAGCAAGCGGAACUCAUAAAGUACGUCGUAGUCCGGAUUGGAGUCUGCAACUCGACUCCAUGAAGUCGGAAUCGCUAGUAAUCGUAGAUCAGAAUGCUACGGUGAAUACGUUCCCGGGCCUUGUACACCCCGCCCGUCACACCAUGGGAGUGGGUUGCAAAAGAAGUAGGUAGCUUAACCUUCGGGAGGGCGCUUACCACUUUGUGAUUCAUGACUGGGGUGAAGUCGUAACAAGGUAACCA
rnacentral:rRNA from 1 species